rnacentral:lncRNA from 1 species
CAAAUAAUUUUGUAAUCAUGGCCUGUCUUAGGUUGAGAGGAUUUUUUUCAAGAUGAUCUUACCUGUCAUUGACUACCAACGUCUGCUAGGGAAGACACUGGACCUGACUCUGAUGAUUACUCUCAAAAGAACAGGUUAUGUGCCAAGUAUUGUGUGGCAGACUUUUUGUGGAGAAGCACAACACAUGUUUAUUCACUCAUGAAAAGGAAUACAUGAAAAGACCCAAAUAAUAACUACACUAAUGUUUAGAAUGAUGAACCAAUUAGACCUUAUUGGCAUUUCUAACAGGAGGACGGGCCAUGGAUCACUUACAAGGACUAAGGAUAAUUCAAAAUGAUCAGCUGAGUCACCAGAAAGCCCACCCCAACAUUGGUGAUAGCCAAAAAAAUCUAUAACUGUGGACUUUCUACACAGCUGGGGGGAAGGGGACUGAAUUCCACAGUCAAAACAUCCUUUCUCUGCAGCACUGACAGCCAGUCUUUGCCCCAAGCACUUGUUUAUCACCACUUCUUUUGCCGAGGGAAAUGCUGCGAUUUGGGAAUGCACCAUGCAUCCUUCCAGAAGACAAGUGUGUCAGCAUCCCAUCAUCACACAGUUCCGAUUGGAAGCAGGGAAAGUUAACUUUGGCUCACAGUUUUUGAGAUUUUGUUUCAGAUCCAUCAUCUAGCCUGUCUAGGACCCCCCACAGUUGUCCCAUUCAUGCCCUAUCCACAUAGUUGAGUUGAAUUGGCAGCCAUUUGUAUGACUUCACAUGUAAAAAUUACUGGUGAUACAUGUCCACAUCAUUCACGGAAGCUAGAAGCAAAAUGUGGUGAAGGAGUAAUCAGAAACCAUUCAACGCAAAAGAAUGCAGAACUUCAGAUGGUGUCCCUUUUACAAAAGCAACAGGCAGCUAUUUCUACUAAAAUUCACAUUCUUGGAAGCCAUUCGUUAUGAGAAUGUGAAGCAAACACAACACAGCAGAGGACACUGUGAGAUGAGUAGCUGAGAACAAGAUCAACUGGAUAUGAAGGUCUCAAUGGUGUAGAGGGAACGCUGGGCCUCCCACAAAGGCUAUAAGAGACUCAGAGAAGACCUGAACACUGCAUUUCAUCUCACUGUUUUAUUUUUGAAAACAAGAGACUUCUUUUCCCUAAGUCCCCUUCACUUGUGGAGAAUGCACCACUAUCAUCACACAAUGCUAGAAAAAUAAGGCAGCUCUAGGAAGGAAGUUUUUUGUAAAUUCCUAGGAAGGAAUUUUAAUCUAAAAACAUGGUUGCUCUGGCAAGGGAUCACAUCCAAAAAACUUCUAAGUCCAAAUGAUCUGGCUGGAAUGACAUACCUCUAAUCUCUCUUGAUGGAAUAUAUACCCUUAAUACACACCUUUAAUCCUUAACAAUGAAGGUAAAAUUAGUUUGUAGAAGAAAUCAGCCAUGUUUGAAAGAGAAAUCUAAUUGAGGGGUAGAUAAAAUGAUCAACCAGAUAAAAAUUUGACAGAAUACCUAUUCUCACAAAAACCACAUAGGAAAGAGAGAGACUACUUAAUAGAACAACACAAGAAGGAGAGGAAACUUAAAGCAGGAGAGAGAGAGAGAGAGAGAGAGAGAGAGAGAGAGAGAGAGAGAGAGAAUGAGAGGAGUCAGUUUUACAGACACAGUUUUUCAGGGGAAGACAGAAUGAGCCAGAGCAUGAGGAGGAGCCAUCAGAAGAGAUUGCCAGAGUGUGAUGGUUUGUAUAUCCUUGAACCAGGGAGUGGCACCAUCUGGAGGUGUGGCCUUGUUGGAAUAGGUGCGACCUGGUUGGAAUGGGUGUGUCACUGUGGGUGUGGGCAUAAGAUUUUAUUGGGAAGCUGCUCUCAUGUGAGUUCACUGGCCCCAUGGAAGUCUCCAUAGAAAAAGAGAGAGAAGAGAGGGGGAAGAAAAAGGAAGAAAGAGGGUGUGUGUAGAGAAAAAGAGAAAGGAGGAUAAGAGAGAACAAAAUGUCUGUAUUAUAUAGGGAAGAACUUCUGGAGGAAGACCAGGACAGCCCCAGG